ACCAGAAGGAUCCUGUCCCUGACUGCUUCUAAAUGCCUGUGUCCAGAGGAAUCCAAGCAGGUUCCUCUUGGGCCAGGAAGUUGAACAGAAGAAGUGGCCUUCCCUGUCUCUCAGUAUUGUUCACGCUUCUAAGAGUCACGCUCCCCCCCUCAGGAGAUGUGCAUAUAGAGACUGGUGAGACCAAAUCAGUUUUAGGCACAGGCUGAAACCAGAAGUAUCCUUUUCCAGAUGGCACAUGGUUUCCUUUGUCCUGAGGGCUCCAGUCGGGUCCCUGGGAGGAGAAGUGGUGCUCUUACCUCUGCUCUCAGGUGUGUCAGGGACACUGGAGACUGGCUAUAGCUUUGAGCUCAGGUGGAGACCGGCAUGAUCAUAUCCCUGACAGGUCCUUGGUUCCUGAGUUAAGAAGUCUCCAGACUGUUAUCUCUUAGGGCAGGGAUGUGAGCAGAAGUGGGGUCCUCCCCUGUGGUCUCAGCAUUGGGUACACUUCUGAGAGUCCAGCUUUAUACCUCACAGUAUCUGAGUAAAGAAAGCUGUUGGAUGUGGUCAGCUGAGGUAGCAGGAUCAAACUGCAAGGAUCCUAUCCAAGUCUGAUCUUAGCUUCCUUAGCCCUCCAGGCAGCCUCAACGUGGACCAGAAAGGUGAGUCAAGAGGAAGCCUACCUGGUUGUCUCAGGAUUGUUUGCUCUUUUAACAGUCAUGUUCUCUUCCCUGGUGAUCUUUUGAGCCACGAGUCAGUAGAGAACUGUUGGACCGUGUGAACUCCAAGCACAGGCAGAAACCAGAAGUAUCCUGAACAAGACCGCUCCUGGUUUCCUAUGACUUGAGGGCUCCAGUCGGGUCCUUCCUAUCCGAAAUUGUGGUCUGAUCUCUGUUCUCUGGUGACUCAGAGCUCCUGGAUAGUGGCUUUCUGCUCCGUGCACAGAUAAAGACCAGAAGGAUCCUGUUCGGACUGCUCCUAGGAUCAUGUGUCCAGAAGGCUCCAGACAGGCACCUCUUGGGGCAAGGAUGUGAGCACAAGUGUUUGUCUCCACAGUGCUCUCAGGAUUAAAAGCAUUUCUGACUGUCCAGCUCUCAACCCAUGAGAUCUUGGUGCUGAGAGCUUUGGGCCUGUGUCACCCUGGCCACAAUUGGGAAACCAGAAGUAUCCUGUCCAAGACAGCUCUAAGGUUCCUGUGUCCAGAGGGCUCCAGGCACGUUCUUUGUGGGCCAGGAAUGUGCAGUAGUGGUCGUCUCCCCAGAGAUCUCAGGAUUGUCUGUACUUCUUACAGUCCACCUCUAUAUUUCAUAGGAUCUGGAUACAGAAAGCUAUAGGACUGGGCCACCUCAGGGUGCAGACAGAACCUGCAAGGUACCUAUCCCAGUCUGCUCCUAAGUUCCUGUGUCCAGAAGGAUCCAGAUGGGUUUACCUUGGGCCAGGAAUGAGAGACAAGAGGAGGCCUCCCCUCUUCUUUCAGGAUUUUCUGCACUUGUGAGAGUGCACUAUUUCCAAAGGUGAUCUGCGUAUAGAAAAUUAUGGGACCAAAUCAGUUCUGGGCUCAGUCACAAUCCAGAGUUAUCCUGUCCCAGCCGACUCCUGGUUUCCUAAGUUCUGAGGACUCUAUGAGCAUUUGUCAGAACUCUCUCCCGUGGUAAUCUUUUGACUCAGGUUGUACUUACAACUGCUCUCAAUUGUGUCCUGGAUACUGCCUUUCAGCCCCAUGCAAGAGCAAAGACAAGAAGGAUCCCAUCCUUGGUUGCUCCUAGGAAUCUCUAUUUUGAAGACUAGACAGAGGGUCCUCUUGGGCCAGGAACAUGUGCAGAAGUGGAGGUCUAUUCUGUGCUCUCAGGAAUGAACACACUUCUGAGAGUCCUUCUCUCUUCCCAGGGGAUCCUGGUACAAAAAUCUGUGGGAGCAGGUCAUCUCAGGGCACAGGCAGAAAUUAGAAUGAUCCUGUCCCAUUCUGUUCCUACAUUCUUGUGUCCAGAGGGGUCCAGGCAAGUUCUUCUUGUGCCAGGAAGGUGAGCAGAAGUUGGGGUCUCUCCUGUGCUCUCAUGAUUGUCCACACUUCUGAGAGUCACACUGUCUCUCACGGCAUCUGGGUAGUGAGAGCUUCGGAAAAAGGGAGCUCUGGACACAGAUGAAAACCAGAAUUACCCUGUUACAGAUGGCUCCUGGUCUCCUAUGUCCUGAGGUCUCCAGGAGUGUCCCUCAGAGGAGAAGUCGUUGUCUUACCUCUGCUUUCCCAAUAUGUCAGUGCUCCUGGAGCCUGACUUUCAGCACUGACCUUUGGGAAAACAGAAGGAUCCUGUCCCUGUCUGCUCCUAGGUUCCUGUGACCAGAAGUCCCCAGGCUGGUCCCUCUUGGGCCAGAAAUGUGAGCAGAAGUGGUGUUCUCCCAUGUGCCCUCAGGCUUGAACAUAUUUCCGAGAGUCCAGUUCUAUUCCUCACAGGACCAGGGUACAGAGAGCUUGUGGGACCAGGAUAGCUCCUGGACCAGAUACAAACCAGAAAAUUCCUGUCUAAUAUUCUCUUGGGUUCAUGUUUUGAGAAUGUUCCAAACAGGUUCCUUUUGGACCCAGAAUGUGAACAGAAGUGGUGGUUUCCCCUGUUCUCUCAUGCUUGUCUGUAUUUCUCUGAGGACAGCUCUAUCCCUCUUGGGAUCUAGGAACAGAUUGCUUGUGCGUAGGUCAGCUCUAGGGUCAUCCAGAGACCAGAUGGUUCCUGUCCUACACUGCACCUAGGUUCCUGGGUCCAGAGGGCUCCAGGCAGGUUCCUCUUGGGUCAGGAAUGUGAGCCAAGAGUAGGUAUCUCCUGUGCACUCCUUAUUGUCUACACUUCUGAGAGUCAUGCUCUCCCCACAGGGGAUCUAUAUGCCGAGAACUGUGUGGCACGGUAAGCUCCAGGCACAGGCCGAAACCAGAAGUACCCCGUCCCAGUGGGCUCCUGGUUUCCUAUAUCCUGAGGGGUUCAGGAAGGUCUCUCCUGCAGAAAUGGUGGUCUUACCUCUACUCUCAGGUGUGAUAUUUUUCCUGAAUAUUGGCUUUCAGGUCCAUGCAUGGGCAAACAAAUCCUGUCCCUGACUGCUCCAGAGGGCUCCAGACGGGUUCCUCUUGAACCAAGAAGGUGAACAGAAGAGGUGGUCUCCCCUGUCUUCUCAGGACUGUCCACACUUCUUAGAGGCAUGGUCUCUCCUUAUUGGAUUUGGAUGUACAGAACAGUGUGACCAGGAUUGUCUUCACUUCUGAGAGUCUGACUCUUUCCAAACGGGAUCUGAGUACAGAGAACUUUGGGCCUGUAACAGCACUGCUCAGAGCUGGAAACCAGAAGGAUGCUGUCCAGAUCUGCUCUUAGGACCGUGUUUUAGAGGGAUCCAGUCUGCUCCUAGGUUCCAGUGUCCAGAGUGCUCGAGGUGGGUUCCUCUUGGGCCAGGAAAUUGAGCACAGAAGAGAUUUCUCCUGCGCUAUCCUGAUUGUGUGCACUUCUGAGAGUCAUGCUCUCUCCCCUGGGGAUCUGUGUACAAGGAUCUGUUCUCCGAUGAAAGAAAAAAAAAAAAAAGAACCCUGCAGGCAGCUUCAACUUGGACCAGAAAGGUGAGUCAAGAGGAAGCCUACCUGGUUGUCUCAGGACUGUUUGCUCUUUUAAGGGUCAUGUUCUCUCCCCUGGUGAUCUUUUGACUCAGGGGUCAAUAGAGAACUGUUGGACCGUGUGAACUCCAAGCACAGGCAGGAACCAGAAGUAUCCUGACCAAGACCGCUCCUGGAUUCCUAUGACUUGAGGGCUCCAGUCGGGUCCUUCCUAUCUGAAAUUGUGGUCUGAUCUCUGUUCUCUGGUGAGUCAGAGCUCCUGGAUAGUGGCUUUCUGCUCCGUGCACAGAUAAAGACCAGAAGGAUCCUGUUCGGACUGCUCCUAGGAUCAUGUGUCCAGAAGGCUCCAGACAGGCACCUCUUGGGGCAAGGAUGUGAGCACAAGUGUUUGUCUCCACAGUGCUCUCAGGAUUAAAAGCAUUUCUGACUGUCCAGCUCUCUUCCCAUGGGAAUCGUGGUGCUGAGCGCUUUGGGCCUGUGUCGCCCUGGCCACAGUUGGGAAACCAGAAGUAUCCUGUCCAAGACUGCUCUAAGAUUCCUGUGUCCAGAGUGCUCCAGGCAGGUUCUUCUUGGGCCAGGAAUGUGCAGUAGUGGUGGUCUCCCCAGAGAUCUCAGGAGUGUCCGUACUUCUUACAGUCCACCUCUAUAUUUCAUAGGAUCUGGAUACAGAAAGCUAUAGGACUGGGCCACCUCAGGGUGCAGACAGAACUUGCAAGGGACUUAUCCCAGUCUGCUCCUAAGUUCCUGUGUCAGGAAGGAUCCAGAUGGGUUUACCUUGGGCCAGGAAUGAGAGACAAGAGGAGGCCUCCCCUCUUCUUUCAGGAUUUUCUGCACUUCUGAGAGUGCACUAUUUCCACAGGGGAUCUGUGCAUAGAAAAUUAUGGGACUAAAUCAGUUCUGGGCUCAGUCACAAACCAGAGUUAUCCUGUCCCAGCCGACUCCUGGUUUCCUAAGUUCUGAGGGCUCCAUGAGCAUUUGUCAGAGCAGAAGUGUUGUUCUUAGCACUGCUCUCAAGUGUGUCAGUGCUCCUGGAUACUGGCUUUCAGCUCCAUGCAAGAGCAAAGACAAGAAGGAUCCCAUCCUUGGUUGCUCCUAGGAUCCUGUAUUUUGAGGACUGAAGGGAGGGUUCUCUUGGGCCAGGAAUGUGUGCAGAAGUGGUGGUCUCCUUUGUGCCCUCAGGAAUGAACACACUUCUGAGAGUCCUUCUCUCUUCCCAAGGGGUCCUGGUACAGAAAUCUGUGGGACCAUGUCAUCUCAGGUCACAGGCAGAAAUUAGAAUGAUCCUGUCCCAGAGGCUCAUGGCUUCCUGUGUUGUGAGAUCACCAGGAAGGUCCCUCAGAGUAGGAGUGGUGGUCUUACCUCUGCUUUCAGGUGUGUCUAGUAUACUGGAGACUGGCUUUCAGCUCAGAGUGCAGGCAGAGACUGGAAGUAUCAUGUCCCUGGCAGUACCUUGGUUCUUGGAUCCAGAAGCCUCCAGAUUGGGAACUCAUUGGGUAGGGAUGUGAGCAAAAGUGAUGGUUUCUCCUGUGUUCUCAGGACUGAAUGCACUUCUGACAGUCCUGGUCUCUCCAUAAAUGAUCUUGGUACAGAAAUAUCCAUGACCUGUUCUGCUCUAGGCACAGGCAGAGACUAGAAUGAUCCUGUCUCAAAAGGCUCCUGGUAUCCUAUGUUUUGAGGUCUCCAGGGGAAUCUCUCAGAGGAGACGCGGUAGUCUUACCUCUCCUUUCAAAUGUGGCAGGUAUACUGGAGACUGGCUUUCAACUGUGAGCACAAGAAGAGACAGGAAGGAUCAUGUCCCUGACAGCUCCUAGGUCCCCGUGUCUAGUAGUCUCCAGACUGGGCAUCUGGGUAUGGAGAACUUUGGGCCCGUGUCAGCACUGGGCCCAGACAGAAACCAGAAGGAUCCUGUCUAAGUCUGGUCUUACCUCCCUGUUUUCAGAGGGAUCCAGGUGUGUCAGUGCUUUUGGAGACUGGCUUUCAACUCCACGCAAAGGCAAAGAAAGAAAGUAUCAUGUCCUUGACUGCUCAUAGGAUCCUGUGUCCUGAACCUAGGAAAUGACCAGACAUAGUCUGCCCAUGACUGCUCCUAGGUUCCUGUAUCCAGAGUGUUCCAGGUGUGUCAGGUAUACUGAAGAUUGGAUUUCUGCUAUGUGCACAGGCCACAACCAGAACGAUCAUGUCCUGACAGUUCCUAGGUUCCUAAGUGUCUAAAAGGCCCCAGACUGGUACCUCUUUGGUCAGGUUUGUCGCUGCUUUUGGAGAGUGGCCUUCAACUCUGUGCACAGGCAAAGACUGGAAGGAUUUUGUCCCUGAGGGCUCCUAGGAUCCUGUGUUCUGAGUGUCCCAGGGCUGAAUGUACUUCUGAAAGUCCCCUACUCUCCCCAUGGGAUCUUGGUACAGAAAUAUGUGGGACAGCAUUGGUACUGGCCACAUCUGGAAAGGAGAAGAAUCCUGUUCAAGUCUGCUCUCAGUUUCUUGUGUCCAGAGAUCUCCAGGUUCCAGUGUCCAGAGGGCUCCAUGAUGGUUCCACUUGUGCCUUGAAGGUGACCAGAAGAGAUUUUCUCCCCUGUCCUCUCAUGAUUGUCCAGUCUUCUAAGAUUCAUGCUCUCUCCCCCAGGGAAUCUGGGUAAAGAGCGCUGUGGGAUCAGGUGAGUUACAGUAACAGGCAAAAACCAGAAGGAUCCUGUCCCAGUCUGCACUUGGGUUCCUGUGUCCAGAUGCCUCUAGGCAACUUCCUUUCGGGACAGCUAUAUGAGCAGUCAUGGUGGUCUCCCCUGAGCGCUCAGGAAUCUCUGCUCUCUGAGUGUCCAGCUUCAUAGCACACGGGAGCUGGAUACAGAAACCUGUAGCAUCUGGUCAUGUCCGUGAGGAGAAGGAAUCUUCAAUGAUCCUAUCCCAGUCUGCUCCUACGUUCCUGUGCCCAGAGAGCUCCAGGCAGGUUCCUUUUGGGUCCAGAAGCUGACUAGAAGAGGUGGUCUCCCCUGUCCACUCAGAAUUGUCCUCAGUUUUGAUAAUCACAGUCUCUCCCCAGGGGAUCUGGGUACAGAGAGCUGUGUGACCAGGUCAGUUCCAGGCACAGGUAGGAACCAGAGAUAUCCUAUCCCAGACAGUUCCUAAUUUCUUAUGUCCUGAGGACUCCAGGAUGGUCUCACAGAGCAGAAGUGGUGGUGUGCUUGCCCCUCCUUUCAGUUGUGUGAGAGUAUUUUGUGUCUGGCUUUCAGCUCCAUGCACAGUCAAAGACCAGAAGGAUCCUGUCUCUGACUGCUUGUGGGAUUCUGUAUUUGGUAGGUUCCACGCGGGUUCCUCUUGGGAAAGGAAUGUGAGCAGAAGUGGUGUUUUCCCCUGAGCUCCCAGGAUAGUCUUCAAUUCUCUCCUAGGUUCCUGUGUCCAGAAGGCUCCAGCCUGGUACCUCUUGGUGCAGGGAUGUGUGCAGAAGUGGUGGUCUCCCCUGAGCUCUAAGGAUUGUCUGCACUUCUGAGAGUCCAGGUUCCUGUGUCCAGAGGGCUCCAGGUGGAUUGAACACGGCUCAGAAUUGUGAGACAAGAGGAGGACUCCACUGCUCUCUCAGGAUUUUCUGCACUACUGAGAGUCUCCCUCUCUCCAAAGGGGAUCUGGGUAUGAAGAACUGUUGGACCCAGGUCAGAUCCGGGUGCAGGCAGAAACGAGAAGUAUACUGUCCCAGACGUGUCCUGCUUUCCUAUGACCCAAGUGAUCAAGGAGGACACUUCCUAACAGAAAUUGUGUUCUCACCUCUGCUCUCAGCUGUGUGUCAGCGCUCCUGGAUACUGGCUUUCAGGUACGUGAACGGGCUAAGACCAGAAGGAUUAUGUCCUUGACUCCACCUAGAUUCCUGUGUCCAGAGGGCUCCAGGCAGAUUCCACUUGUGCCAGAAAGGUGAGCAGAAGAGGUGGUGUCCCCUGUCCUCUCAGGAUUGUCCAGUCUGCUGAGAGUCACACUCUCUCCCCAGGGGAUCUGGGUACAGAGAGCUGUGGAACAGGUUAAUUCUAGGCAUAGGCAGAAACCAUUGUUUCCUCUGUUGUGAGAUCUCACAUGGGUCCCUUGGAGGAGAAGUGGUGGUCUUACCUCUGCUUUCAGUUGUGUCAGGCAUACUGGAGACUGCCUUUCCACUCCUUUCACAUUCGGAGACGUGAGGGAUAAUGUCCCUGACAGCACCUAGGUUCCUGUGUCCAGAAGCCUCCAGGCUGAGGAUCUGUGCACAGAGAGCUUUGGGCAUGAGUCAGCACUGGCGACAGCCGGAAACAAGAAGGAUCCUGUCCAAGUCUGCUCUAAAGUUCUUGUGUCCAGAGCACUUCAGGCGGGUUUCUCUUUGGCCAGGUAUCCCUGAGCUAUUAGGAUUAUCUGCACUUCUGAAAGUCAUGGUUUCUCCACAGGGGAACUAGGUAAAGAGAGCUUUGGACCUGAGAUAGCACUGGGCACAGCCAGAAACCAGCAUCCUCUCUGAGACUGCUCUUAGGUUUCUGUGUCAAGAGGGCUCCAGAUGGGUUCCUUUUGGGCAAGAAAGGUGAGAAGUAUAGGUGGUUUCCCCUGUCCUGUCAGGAUUGUCAGCACUUCUGAGAUUCAAGCUCUCUCCCCAAGGAAUCUGAGUAUAAAGCACUAUGGGAACAGUUCAGUUCUGGGCACAGGCAGAAACCAGAAGUAUGCUGUCCCAGAUGGCUCCUGGUUUCCUAUGUUCAUAGGUCUCUAGGAGUUCAGAGAUUGUGGUCUUACCUCUGCUCUCAGUUGUGUGCCUUUGAAUACUGGCUUCCAGCUCUGUGACCUGGCUAAGUCCAGAAGGAUCCUGUCCGUGACUCCUCCUAUGUUCCACUGUCCAGAGGGCUUCAGUGUAUCUGGGUACAGAGAGCUGUGGGACCAGGUCAGCUUCAGUCACAGGCAGAAACCAGUUAGAUCCUGUCCCAGAUGGCUCCUGAUUUCCUAUGUCCUGAAGACACCAGGGGUGUGCAUUGGCGCUGAAAUUGUGGUCUUCCCUCUACAUUCAGGUUCGUGUGUCCAGGUGGCGGCAGGUGGAUUCAAUUUGGUCCAGAAAGCCUCCAGGAGGGUCCCUUGGACCAGAAAUUGUGGUCAAACCUUUGCUUUCAGUUGUGUCAGCCCUACUGUAUACUGGCUUUCAGUUCCAUGCACGGGCAAAUACCAAAAGGAUCCUGUCCAUGACUGCUCCUAGGUUCCUGUGUCCAGAGGGCUCCAGGUCCAGAAACCUGUGGGCCCUGUCAGCACCAGAAGAUGGAAAACCCAAGGAUCUUGUCCCAGUCUGCUUCUAGGAUGUCCAGAAGCCUACAAACUGGUUCCUCUUGGGCCAGAAAUGAUCUAGGAGCAGAUUGCUUGGGCCUGGUCAGCUCUAGGCUCAGGUGGAAACUGGAAGGAUCCUGUUCCACACUGCUCUUAGGUUCCUGGGUCCAGAGGGCUCCAGGUGUAUCAGUGCUGUUGGAGACUGACUUUAAACUCUGUGCACAAGCAAAGACUGGAAGAAUCCUGUACCUGGCUGCUCCUCGGUUCCUGUGUGCAGAGGGAUCCACGUGGGUCCCUCUAGGGCCAGGACUGUCCACACUUCUUAGAGUACUGCUUUCACCUAAGCGGAUCUGGGUACACAGAAUGGUGGAUCAAGGUCAAUCCCUGGCACAAGCAGAAUCCAGAAGGCUCCAGUCCCAGCUGUCUCCUGGUUUCCUAUGUCUUGACAUCUCCAGGAGGGUACCUUGGUAAAGAAAUUGUGGUUUUACCUCUGCUCUCUGGUGUGUCAGCACUUUUGGAGACUGGCUUUCAGCUCCGUACACAGGUCAAGACCAGAUGGCUCCUGUCCCUGACUGUUCCUAGGUUCCUGUGACCAGAAGACUCCAGGUGGUUUCCCCUUGGGCCAGAAAUAUUAGCAGAAGUAAUGGUCUCCAUUGAGGAUUCAGGAUUGUCUGAACUUCUGUGUGUCCAGCUCUAUUCCUCAUGAGAUCUGGGCACAGUAUGGUAUAAGACCUCAUCAGCUCUGUGCAAAGAUGAAAAGCAGAAGCAACCUGUCCCAGUCUGCUCCUAGGUUCCUGUGGCCAUAGGCUCUAGUGUGGUUCCUCGUGGGCCAGGAAUGUGAACAGAAGUGGUGGCUUCCCCUGUGCUCUCAGGAUUGAAUGCAUUUCUGAAAGUCCCUCUCUCUCCCCAUGGGAUCUAAGUAUAGAAAUCUGUGAAACAAGGUCAGCACUGGCCCCAUCUGAAAACCAGAAGAAUUCUGUCCAAGUCUCCUCUAAGUUUCGUGUGUCCAGAGCUCUCCAUUGGGGUUCCUCUUGGGCCAGGUGUGUCAGGUAUACUGGAGACUGACCUUAAGCUAUGAGCAUAGGCAGAGACUGGACAUAUCCUGUCCCUGACAGCUCCUAAAUUCCUGCAUCCAGAUGGAUCCAGGCAGGGGUUCUGGAUCCAGAGAGCUUUGGGCCUGUGUAAGCAUUGGGCACAGCCAGAAACCAGAAGGAACCUGUCUGCUCUUAAGUCCCUGCUUUCAGAGGGAUUCAGGUGGGUUCCUCUUGGGCCAGGUAUGUUACCAGAACAGGUGAUCUCCCCUGUCCCCUCAGGAUUGUCCAUACUUUUUUAGAGUCAUGCUCUCUCCACAGGGGAUAUGGGUACAGAGAUCUGUGGGACCAGUUCAGUUCCCAGAACAGGGAGAAACAAGGAAGGAUCCUGUCCCAGAUGGCUCCUGGUUUCCUAUGUCCUGAGGUCUCCAGGAGUGUAUCUCCAAGCAGAAAUUAUGUUCUUAAGACUUCUCUCAGGUGUGUCAGUACUUUUGGAGACUACAUUUCAGCUCGUUUCAUUGGCAAAGACCAGUUGGAUCAAGUCCCUGACCGCUCCUAAGAUCUUGUUUCCAGAAGGCCCCAGCUCGGUUCUACUUGUUUAGGAAUGUGAGCAGUUUUGGCGGUUCCUCAUCUACCUCACCAGAACUCUCAGGAAUGACCACACUUGUGAGUGUCAUGGUCUCUCCAGAGGAGAUCUUGUAGUGAGAGCUCUCAGUCUUUGUCUGUACUGGGCACAGACAUAAACCAGAAGGAUCCUAUACAAAUCUGCUCUUAGUAACCUGUAUCCAGAGGGCUGUAGGCUGGUUUCUCUUUGGUCAGGUAGGUGAACAAUAAUGGUGGUUUCCCCUGAGCUCUCAGGAUUAUCUGCACUUCUCAGAAUCAUCCUCUCUCCCCAGGAGCUCUUGGUACAGAGAGCUGUGGGACCAGUUCAGUUCCAGGCACAGGCAGCAAACAGAAGGAUCCUGUCCCAGGUGUCUCCUGGUUUCCUGUAUCCUGAAGGCUCUGGGACUGUAUCGCUGAGCAGAAUUUGUGGUUUUAAGACUUCUCUCAGAAGUCUCCAGGUGGGUUCUUCUUGUCCCAGGAAGGUGAGCAGAAGAGGUGGUCUUCCCUGUCCUCUCAGGAUUGUAUGCACUUCUGAUAGUCCCACUCUCUCCCAAGGGGAUCUGAGUACAGAGAACUUCGGGCCUUUGUCAGCACUGCACACGGCAGGAAAUGAGAAGGAUCCUGUUCAAGUCUGUUCUUAGGUUCCUAUGUCCAGUGGACUCCAGGUGUGUCAGCUCUGGUAGAGACUGGCUUUCAACUCUGUGCAAAGGAAAAACCUGAAAGAGGUGUCCCUGACUGCCCUUGGAUCCUGUGUCCAGAAGGCUCAAAAUGGGAUCUUCUUCGGCUAGGAAGGUGAUCUUUGUACAGAGAGCUUUGGGCCUGUGUCAGCAGCCGGCACAGUUGGAAACCAGAAGGAUCCUGUCCAAGUCUGCUCUUAGGUCCCUGUUUUUAGAGGGAUCCAGGUGGGUUCCUCUUGGGCCAGGUAUGUAAGCAGAAGAGGUGAUCUCCCAUGUUUCCUCAGGAUUUUCCAUACUUUUUAGAGUCAUGCUCCCUUUCCAGGGGACCUGGAUACAGAGAGCUGUGGGACAAGUUCAGUUCCGGGAACUAGCAGAGACCAGAAAGAUCAGGUCCCACAUGGCACCUGGUUUCUUGUGUCCUGAGGGCUCCAGAAGUAUAUAUCUGAGCAGAAGUUUUGAAGUUACCUCUGCUUUCAGGUUUGUCAGCGAUUUGGGGGGCUGACUUUCAACUCCUUUCAUAGGCAAAAACCAGUAGGAUGAUGUCCCUGACUGCUCCUAGGAACCUGGUUCCAGAAGGCUCCAGUCUGGUUACACUUUUUAAGAAUGUGAGCAGUAUUGGUGGUCACCCCUGAGAUCUCAGGAAUGUCCUUAAUUCUGAGAGUUGCACUUUCUCCCCAGGGGAUCUUGGUAGAAAGAGCUUUCGGGCUUUGUCAGUACUGGGCACAGACAUAUACCAGAAGGAUCCUGUCCAAGUCUGCUUUUAUUUCCCUGUGUCCAGAGCACUCCAUGAGUGUUUCUCUUUGGCAAGAUAUGUGAGCAGUAGUGGUGGUCUUCCCUGAGCUCUCAGGAUAGUCCAAAAUUCUGAGAGUCACACUCUCUCCUCAGGUGAUCUGGGUACAGAGAGCUGUGGGACCAGUUCAGUUACAGGCACAGGCAGAAACUAUAAGCAUCCUGUCCCACAUGGCUCCUGGUUUCAUAUUGUCCUGAGGGCUCAAGGAAUGUAUGUCUGAGCAGAAAUUGUGUUCUUACCACUGCUCUCAUGUUUGUCAGUGCCGUUGGAAAGUGGCAGUCAGCUUGAUGCACAGGCAAAGACCAGAAAGAUCGUGUUCCUGACUGGCCUUGGAUCCUGUGUCUAGAAGGCUCCACCUGGGAUCCUUUAUGGCUAGGAAGUUUUUUCAGUGCUCCUGAGUGCUGACUUUCAGCUCCGUACAUGGGUAAAGACCAGAAUGAUGCUGUCCCUGACUGCUCCUAGUUUCCUGUGUUCAGAGGGCUCCAGGUGGGUUCCCCAUGGGCCAAUAUUUGAACAGAAGAUGUGGUCUCCCCAGCACUUACAGGAUUGUCCACGCUUCUGAGAGUCACACUCUCUCCCCAGGUGAUCUGGGUACAGAAAGCUGUGGGACCAGGCCAGUUCUAGGCACAGACAGAAACAAGAGGUUUCAUGUCCCAGGGGGCUUUCUGGUUUACUACAUCCUGAGGGCUCCAGAAUGGUACCUUGGUGUAGAAAUUGUGUUCUUAUAUCAGCUCUCAGUUUUGUCAGCACUUUUGGAGACUGGCUUUCAGCCUAGUGAACAGGCAGAGACCGGAAGGAUCAUGUUCCUGAAUGCUCCUAGGAACCUGCUUCCAGAAGGCUCCAGGCAGAUUCUACCUGCACCAAAACUGUGAGCAGCAUUGGUCUUGUCCUCUGAACUCUCAGGAUUGUCAGCAUUUCUGAGAGUCCCGGUCUCUUUUCUGGGCAUCUGUGUACGGAGAGCUUUGGGCCUGUGUCAGCAUUGGUCACAGUCAGAAACCAGAAGGUUUGUGUCAAAGUCUGCUUUGUCCAGAGGGUACAGGUGGGUUCCUCUUGGGCCAGGUAUGCAAACAGUAGUGGUGGUCUCCCCUGAGCUCGCAGGAUUGUCCCCACUUCUGAGAGUCCUGCUCUCUCCCCAGGGGAUCAGGGUAAAGAGUGCUGAGGGCCCCAGUCAUCUCCAGGUCUAGUAAGAAUUCAGUAUUCUGUCCCAGUCUACUCCUAUGUUCCUGUGUCCAGAAGGCUCCAGACUGGGACAGCUUGUACCAGGACUUUGAACAGAAUUGGUAGUCUCCCCUCUACUCUUAGGAUUGAACGCACUUCUGAGAGCCAUGCUCUCUCACCACGGGAACUGGUUACAAAGAUCUCUGGGACCAGGUCACAUCUGGUUGCAGGCAGAAAGCCGAAGUAAUCUGUUCCAGAUGGGGCAUGGUAUCCAAUGACCUGAGGGCCCCAGAAGGGUACAUUGCAACAGAAAUUGUGGUCUUACUUCUGCUUUCACGUGUGUUAGGUAUAUUGGAGACUGGCAUUCAGCUAUGAGCACAGUCCGGGACUGGAAGGAUCAUGUCCUGACAGCUCCUAGGCUCCUGUGUCUAGAAGGUUCCAGAGUGGUACCUCUUGGGUCAGGGAUGUGAGCAGAAGUGGUUGUCCCCCCUGAGCUCUGAGGAUUGUCCUGACUUCUUUGAGUGUAGCUCAAAUGUUCAUGGGAUCUAGGAAAGGUUUGGUAUAAGACCAGGUCAGCUCUGAGAGAGACAGAAACCAACAUGAUCCACUCUAAGUCUGCUCCUAAGUUCUUUUGUCCAGAAGGCUCCAGACUGGUACUUCUUGGGCCAGGAAUGUGAGCACAAGGAAAGGUCUCCCCUGUCCUUCCAGAAUGGUCCACACUUCCAAGCAUCAUGUUCUUUCCCCCAGGGGAUCUCGGUACAGAGAUCUGUGGGAGCAGGUCAGUUCCAGGCACAGUCAGAAACCAGAAGGAUCUCGUCCCAGUGGUUCCUGGUUUCCUCUGUUGUGAGAUCUCCGACUGGGUCACUCAAAGUAGAAGUGAUGGUCUUACACCUGCUUUCAGAUGUGUCAGGUAUAUUGGAGAUUGGCUUUCAGCUCCAAUAUCAAGCAGAGACCUGAAGGAUCAUGUCCCUGACAGCUCCUAGAAUCUUGUGUCCACAAGGAUCCAGACUGGUACUUCUUGAGGCAGGGAUGGGAGCAGAAGUGGUGGUAUUCACUAUGCUCUCAGGAUUGAACGCACUUCUAACAGUCCUGCUCUAUCCACAGGGGAUCUGCAUACAGAAAGCUUUGGGCCUGAGUCAGCACUGGCCGUAUCUGAAAACCAGAAGUAUCUUGUGGAAGUCUGCUUUAAGUUGCCUGUGUCCAGAGCACUCCAUUGGGGUUUCUCUUGGACCAGGUAUGUGAGCAGUAGUGGAGGUCUCCCCUGAGCACUCAGGAUGGUCUGAACUUCUGAGAGUCCAGAACUAUACUUCAUGGAUCUGGAUACAAAACUCUGUAGGACAGGACCAGCUCAGAGUGCAGGCAUAAACUGCAAGGAACCUAUCCCGGUCUGCUCCUAGUAUCCCGUGUCCAGAGGGAUGCAGGUGGAUUCAACUUGGUUGAGAAAGUUGAGCCAAGAGACGGCCUAUGCUGUUCUCUCAGAAUUUUCUCCACAUUUGAGUGUCUCAUUCUCUCCACAGGGGAUUUGGGUACAGAAAACUGUGGGACUGGGUCAAAUCUGAGCAGAAGCAGAAACCAAAAGCAUCCUGUCCAAGAAUAGCUCCUGGUUUCCUAUGUCCUAUGGGCUCCAGAAGGGUCCCUUAGAGCAGAUACUGUAGUCUGAACUCUGCUCUCAGUUGUGUAAGUGCUACUGGAUACCCGCUUUAAGCUCUGUGCACUGGCAAAGACCAGCAUGAUCCUGUCUCUGAGCGCUCCUAGUCCUGUGUCUAGAGGGCUUCAUGCAGGUUCCAUUGUGCCAGGAAUGGGACCAGAAGAGAUGGUCUCCCCUGCCAUUUCAGGAUUGUCCAGUCUUCUGAGAGGCAUGCUCUCUCCCCAGGGGAUCUGGGUACUGAGAGCUGUGGGACAAGGUCAGUUCCUGGCACAGGCAGAAACCAGAAGGAUUCUGUCCCAGAUGGCUCCUGCUUUGCUAUGUCCUUAGAACUCCAGUAGGGUACAUUGGAGCAGAAACUGUGAUCUUACCUCUGCUUUGAGGUGUAUCAGGUAUAUUGCAGACUGGUUUUCAGUUAUGAGCACAGGCUGAGACCAGAAAGAUCAUGUCCUGACAGCUUAUAGCUUCCUGUGUGCAGAAGGCUCCAGUCAGGUACCUUUUGUGACAGGGAUGUGAGCAGAAGUGGUGGUCUCCCAUGUGCACUUAGGACUGAAUGCACUUGUGACAGUCCCACUCCCUUUCCAGGGGAUUUUUGUACAGAGAACUGUGGGAACAGGUGAGCACCAGGCACAGGCUGAAACCAGAAGUAUCCUUUCCCAGUUGGCUCAAGGUUUCCUGUAUCCUGAGUCAUCCAGGAGGGUCUCUAUGGUAGAAAUGGUGGUCUUACCUCUGCUCUGAAAUUUCACACCAUUCCUGGACAUUGGUUUUCAGCUUCGUGCAUGGGCAAAGAUCAGAAGGAUCCUGUCCCUGACUUUCCCUUAAUAUCUGUGUCCAGAGGGAUCCAGGCAGGUUCCUCUUGGUCCAGGAAUGUGAGUCAAAGUGGAGGACUUCCCUGUCUCUCAGGGUUGUCCACACUUCUGAAAGUCAAGCUCUCUCCCUAGGGGAUCUGCGUACUGAGAGCUGUGGGACCAGGUCAGUUUCAGGCACAGGCAGUAACCAGAAGUAUCCUGUUCCAGCUAGCUCAUGGUUUCCAUUGUCCUGAGAGAUCCAGGAUGGUCCCUUGAAGCAGGUGUGGUCUUCCCUCUGCCCUCAAGUGUGUCAGUGUUUAUGGAGCCUGGCUUUCAACUCUGUACACAGGCAAUGACAGGAAGUGUCCUGUCCCUGAUUGCUUCUAGGAUCCUGUAGUCUGAGGACUUCCGGAGGGAUCCCCUUGGGACAGGAAUGUGAGUAGAAGUGGUGUUCUCCCCUGAGCUCUCAGUAUAGUCAGCAUUUCUGUGACUUUAGCUCUAUUCCUCAUUGGAACUUGGUACAGAAUUGUGUUAGACAGGCUCAAUUCAAGAGCAGAGGGAAACCGGUCUGCUCCUGAGUUUCUGUGUCCAGAAGGUUCCAGAGUGGUACUUCUUGGGACAAAAAUGUGAGCAGAAGUGUUGGUCUCCCCUGUGCUCUCAGGAUUGAACUGACUCCUGAGAGUUCUGAUUUCUCGAAUGGGAUCAUGGCACAUAAAUCUAUGGGAUGUGACAGCUCCGGGCACAGGUAGAAACCAGAAUGAUUCUCUCACAGAAGGAUCCUGGUUUCCUUUUUCAUGAGGCUCCGGGCAGGUUCCUUGGAGGAGAAGUGGUGCUCUUACCUCUGCUCUCAGGUGUGUCAUGGACACUGGAGUCUGGCUUUAGCUUUGAGGUCAGGUGGAGACCGGAAUGAUCAUGUCCCCGACAGGUCCUUGGUCCCUGUGUUAAGAAGUCUCCAGACUGGCAUCUCUUAGGGCAGGGAUGUGAGCAGAAGUGGGGUCCUCCCCUGUGCUCUCAGGACUGUGUACACUUCUGAGAGUCCAGCUCUAUACCUCACAGCAUCUGAGUAAAGAAAGCUGUUGGAUGUGGUCAGCUGAGGUAGCAGGGUCAAACUACAAGGAUCCUAUCCAAGUCUGUUCCUAACUUCCUGUGUUUAGAGCCCUCCAGGCAGCUUGAACUUGGACCAGAAAGGUGAGUCAAGAGGAGGCCUCCCCUGUUCUCUCAGGAUUUUCUGUUCUUCUAAGAGUCACACUCUCUACCCUGGUGAUCUUUUGACUCAGGAGUCAAUAGAGAACUGUUGGACCGUGUGAACUCCAAGCACAGGCAGAAACCAGAAGUAUCCUGAACAAGACCACUCCUGGUUUCCUAUGACUUGAGGGCUCCAGGUGGGUCCUUCCUAUCUGAAAUUGUGGUCUUACCUAUGUUCUCUGGUGAGUCAGAGCUCCUGGAUAGUGCCUUUCAGCUCCAUGCACAGAUAAAGAGCAGAAGGAUCCUGUUCAGACUGCUCCUAGGAUCAUGUGUCCAGAAGGCUCCAGACAGGCACCUCUUGGGGCAAGGAUGUGAGCAGAAGUGUUGGUCUCCACAGUGCUCUCAGGAUUAAAAGCAUUUCUGACAGUCCAGCUUUCUCCCCAUGGGAUCUUUGGGCCUGUGUCCCCACUGGCCACAGUCAGAAACCAGAAGAAUCCUGUCCAAGACUGCUCUUAACUUCCUGUGUCCCGAGGGCUCCAGGCCGGUUCCUCUUGGGCCAGGAAUGUGAGCAGCAGUGGUGGUCUCCCCUGGGCUCUCAGGAUUGUCUGCACUUCUGAGAGUCCAGCUCUAAUCACGGGAUCUGGAUACAGAACGCUGUAGGACUGGGUCAGCUCAGGGUGCAGGCAGAACCUGCUAGGAACCAAUCCCAGUCUGCUCCUAGGUUCCUGUGUCCAAAAGGAUCCAGACAGGUUAAACCUGGGUCAGAAAGGUGAGACAAGAGGAGGCCUCCCCACUUCUCUCAGGAUCUUCCGCACUCUGAGAGUCUCACUAUCUCUUCAGGUGAUCUGUGUAUAGAGAAUUAUGGGAAGGGAUCAGUUCUGGGUGCAGUCAGAAACCAGAAGUAUCCUGUCCCAGAUGGCUUCCGGUUUCUUAAGUCCUGAGGGCUCCAGGAGAGUUUGUCAGAGUUGAAGUGUUGUUCUUACCACUGCUCUCAAGCAUGGAAGAACAAACACAAGAAGGAUCCUGUCCCUGAUUGCUCCUAGUAUCCUGUAUUUUGAAGGCUCCACGUGGGGUUCCUCUUGGGCCAGAGAUAUGAGCAGAAGUGGUGGUUUCCCCUGUGGUCUCAGGAUUGAAUGCACUUCUGAGACUCCUGCUCUCUCCCCAGUGGAUCUGGGUACAGAGAGCUUUGGGCCUGUGUCAACAGAGGGCACAGCCAGAAACCAGAAGGGUCCUGUCCAAGUCGGUUGUUACAUUCCUGUUUUCAGAGUGCUCCAAGUAGGUUCCUCGGGCCAGGUAUCUGACCAGAACAAGUGAUCUCCCCUGUCCCCUCAAGAUUCUCCACACUUCUGAUAGUCAUGCUCUCUCCCAAGGGGUUUUGGAUACAGAGAGUUCUGGGAACAAUUCUGUUGGGAUCAGGCAGAAACAAGAAGGUUACUGUUCCAAAUGGCUCCUGGUUUCUUGUGUCCUGAGGGCUUGAGGAGUGUAUCUCCAAGCAGAAAUUGUUGUGUUACCUCUGCUCUCAGCUGUGUCAAAGCUUUUGGAGACUGGCUUUCAGCUCCAUGCACAGGCAAACACCAGAAGGAUGGUGUCUCUGACUGCUCCUAAUAUCCUGUGUCCAGAAUGCUACAGUCUGGUUCCUCUUGGGCCAGGAAAAUAAGCCGAAGAGGUGGUCUCCCUUGCACUUCUGACAGUCCCACUUUCUUCCAUGGGGAUCUGGGUACAGAGAGUUUGGGGCCUCUGUCAGCACUGCACAGAGUCAGAAAACAGAAGAAUCUCCCCUGUGCUGUCAGGAUUGAACACAAUUCUGACAGUCCUACUCUCUCCCCAAGGGAUCUCAGUAGAGAAAACGUUGGGACUGGGUCAGCUCAGGACACAGGCAGAAACUAGAAUGAACUUGUCCCAGACAGCUCCUAGUUUCCUAUGUUGAGAUCACCAGGCAAGUCCCUUGGAGCAGAAGUGGUGGUCUUACAUCUGCUUAAAGGGGAUCUGGGCACACAGAGCUUUGAGCUUGUGUCAGAAUUGGUCAUAGCCAGAAACCAGAAGAAUCCUGUCCAAGUCUGCACUAAGGUUCCUAUGUCCAGAGGGCUCCAGGAGGGUUCCACUUUGACCGGAUAUGUGAGCAGCAGUGGUGGACUCCCCUGCACUCUCAGGAUUGAAUGAACUUCUGACAGUCCUGAUCUGUCCCCAAAGGAUUUCAGUAUAGAAAUCUGUGGGAUCUGCUCUGCUCUGGGCAUAGGCAGAAACUAGAACAAUCCUGUCCCAGAUGGCUCCACUUUUCCUAUAUUUUGAGAUCUCCAUGGGGGUCCUUCAGAGUCGAAAUGGUGGUCUUAACUCUGCUUUCAUGUGUGUCAGGUGUACUGGAGACUGGCCUUGAGCUAUGAGCACAGGCAGAGACUGGAAGGAUCAUGUCCCUGACAGCUCCUAGUUCCCUGUGUCCGGAAGUCUCCAGAUUGGUAUUUCUUGGGCAGGGAUGUGAGCAGAAGUGGUAGUCUCCCCUGUGGUGCCAAGAUUGAAUAGAUUUCUGACAAUUCACCUCUCUCCCCAGGAGAUCAAGGUACAGAUAUCUUUGGGCCAGUGUCAGCAGUGGGCAUACCCGGAAAUCAGAAGGAUCUUUUCCAGGUCUGCUCUUAGGUUCCUGUAUCCAGAGGGCUCCAGACUGGGAACUCUUGGUCAGGGAUGUGUGAAGUAGUGGUGGUCUGACUUUAGAUCUCGUGAUUGUCUACACUUCUGAGCGUCAUGUUCUCUCCCUGGGGAUUCUGGGUACAGAGAGCUUUGGACCUUUCUCAGCAUGGCACACAGCUGGAAAUGAGAAAGAUCCUGUCCAAGUCAGUUCUUAGGUCCCCAUUUUCUGGGGGAUCCAGGUAGGUUCCUCUUGGGCCAGGUAUGUGACCUGAAGAAGUGAUCUCCCCUGUCCCUCAGGAUUGCCCAUAUUUCUUGUAGUCACACUCUCUUUCCAGGGUUCUGAAUACAGAGAGCUGUGGGACCAGGUAAGUUCUGGAACAGGCAGAAAGAAGAAGGAUCCUGUCCUACAUGGCUCCUGGUUUCUCAUGUCCUGAGGGCUACAAGAGUGUAUUUCUGGGCAGAAAUUGUGGUGCUAUAUCUGCUUUCAGGUUUGUCAGUGCUUUUGGAGACUGGCUUUCUGCUUGUUUCAUGGGCAAAACCCGGAAGUAGUGUGUCUCUGCCUGCCCCUAGGAUCCUGUGUACAGAAGGAUCCAGAUCGGUCUAAUUGGUCAGGAAUUUGAGUAGUAUUGGCCAUUCAUCCCUCCCCCCACCCAGAGCUCUCAGGAAUGUCUACACUUCUGAGAGUGAUGCUCUGUCCCCUGUGGAUCUUGGCAGAGAGAGCUUUCAGUCUUUAUCAAUACUGGACACAGACAUAAGCCGGAAGGAUCCUCUCCAAGUUUGCUCUUAGUAACGUAACUCCAUAAGGGUGCCAGGCUGGUUGCUCUUUGGCCAGGUAUGUAAGCCUUAGUGGUGGUUCCCCUGAGCUCUCGGGAUUGUCCACACUUCUCGGAGUCAAGCUCUUUUCCCAGUGGAUCUAGGUACUGAGAGCUGUGGGAUCAUUCAGUUCUGGGCACAGGCCGAAACAGAAGGAUGCUGUCCCAGAUGCCUCCUAGUUUCCUAUGUCCUGAGGGCUCCAGGAAUGUAUCUCUGAACAGAAAUUAUGGUCGGAAGGCUUCUCUCAGGUGUGUUAGCACUUUAGGAGACUGUCUUUCAUCUCCAAGCACAGGCAAAGACCUGAAGGAUGUUGUCUAUGACUGUUCCUAAUCCUAAUAUCCUGUGUCCAAAUGUGUCCAUGUGGGUUCCUUUUGGGCCAGGAAGAUAAGCAGAAGAGGUGGUCUCCCCUGUCUUCUCAGAAUUGUAUGCAUUUCUGAGAGUCCCACUCUCUCCCAAGGGGAUCUGAGUACAGAGAGCUUUGUGCCUUUGUCAGCACUGCACACAGCUGGAAAUGAGAAGCAACUUGUCCAAGUCUGCUCUUAAAUUCCUGGGUCCAGAGGGAUCCAGGUGGUUUCAACAUGGGCCUGAAAGUCGAGCCAAGAAGAGGCCUCCCCUUUUCACUCAUGAUUUUCCGAAUUUAUGAGCGUCACAGUUUCUCCCUGGGGGAUCUGGGUACCAAGAACUGAGGGAAUGGGUCAGCUCAGGGCCUGGGCAGAAACCAGAAGUAACCUGUCCUAGAUGGCUCUUGGUUUCCUAUGUCCUGAGGAUUCCAGGAGGGUCCAUUGUAGAAGGAGUGGUAGUUUUUACCUCUGCUCUUAAAUGUGUCAGUACCUUUGGAGACGAGCUUUCAGCACAGUGCACAGGCAAAGACCAGAAGGAUCCUGUCCCAGGCAGCUCCUGGGUUCCUGUAUCCACAAUGCUCCAGACUGGGUCAGGAAUGUGAUUAGAAGUGGUGGUCUCCCCUGUGCUCUCAGGAUUGAAGACAUUUCUGAGAGUCCCAUUCCCUCCCCAAGGGAUCUCAGUACAAAAAUCUGUGGUAUUGUGUUAGCUCCAGACACAGACAGAAACUAGCAUGAUCCUGUCCGAUAUGGCUCCUGGUUUCCUAUGUUGUGAGAUCUCCAGGGUGGUCCUUCAGAAUAGAAGUGGUGGUCUUAACUCUGCUUUCAGGCGUGUCAGGUAUACUGGAGACUGACCUUAAACUAUGAGCACAGGCAGAGACUGGAAGGAUCACGUCCCUGACAGCUCCCUAGUUCCCUGUGUCCAGAAGGAUCCAGACUGGUUCUUCUUGGGCCAAGAAUGUCAGCAGAAGUGGUGGUCUCCUCUGUGAUCUCUGGAUUGAACACACUUCUGAGAGUCCCACUAUCUCCCCACGGGAUCUGGGUACAGAGAGCUGUGGACUUGUGUCAAUACUGUGCACAGCUGGAAACCAGAAGAAUCCUGUACCAGAAUGCUCUUAGGUUCCUGUGUCCAGAGGGCUUCAGAGAGGUUCUAACUGGGCCAGGGAUGUGAGCAGAAUUGGUGAUCUCCCCUGUGAUAUAAGGAUUGCAUGCACUUUGGAGAGUCCAGUCCUACCUCUCCCAGAACCUGGGUACAGGAAGUUAUGGGAUUAGGUCAGCUCUGGGAGCAGAUGGAAACCAGAAGGAUCAUGUGUGAGACUGCUCCUAGCUCCCUGUGUCCAGAAUGCUCCAGAAUGUUUCUUCUUGGGACAGGAAUGUGAGCAGAAAUGGGGGUUUCUCCUAUGCACUCAGGAUUGUCCCAAUUUCUGAAAGUCCAGAUUUCUCUUCCAGGGGUUCUGGGUACAGAGAGCUGUGGAUCAGGACAGUUCUGGGCAAAGACAGAAACCAGAAAGAUCCUGUCCCAGACUCCUUCCUCCUGGUUUCCCAAGUCCUGCGGGACCCAGGCGGGCCCAUCAGAGCAGAAGUUGUGGUCUUAGAACUGCUCACAUGUGUGUCAGCAAUCAUGGAGACUGGCUUUAAGCUCUAAAUGCAGGUGCAGGCCAUCAGGUUCCUGUGUCUGACUGCUCCUAGGUUCCUGUGCCCAGAGUGCUCUAGGCAGGUACCUCUUGGGUCGGGGAUGUGAGCAGAAGCUCUUCCCUCCCCUGUGCUCUCAGGACUGUCCACAUUUUGAGAGUCCUGCUCUCUCUGCAGGGAAUCUGGGCACAGAGAUUUGUGGACCUGGGUCAGCUCUGGAUGCAGGCAGAGACCUUAAGCCUCCAGUCACAGAAUUCUCUUAGGUUCAUUUGUCCAGAGGGCUCCAGGGAGGUUCGUCUCGGGACAGAGCUGUGAGCAGAAGAUAUUUUCUCCCCUGAGCUCUCAAGAUUGUCCACACUUCUGAAAGUUCAGGUCUCUCCCCCAUGUGAUCUGGAUACAGAACGCUGGGCGACCGGGUGAGCUCCAGGAGCAGGCAGAAACUGCAAGGAUCCUGUCCCACUCUGCUCCUAUAUUCUUGGGCCCACAGGGGUCCAGGCAGGUUCUUCUUGGACCAGGAAGGCGAGCAGAAGUCGGGGUCUCUCUUGUGCUCUCAGAAUUGUCUGCACUUUUGAGAGUCACACUGUCUCUCAUGGGAUCUGGGUACAGAGAGCUCUGGAACCCAGUCAGCUCUGGACACAGGUGAAAACCAGAAUUAUCCUGUUACAGAUGGCUCCUGGUCUCCUAUGUCCUGAGGUCUCCAUCUCCAAGAGUGUCCCUCAGAGGAGAAACGGUGGUCUUACCUCUGCUUUCAAAUGUGUCAGUGCUCCUGGAGACUGGCUUUCAGCUCUAGCAUGGGCAAAGACCAGAGGAUCCUGUCUCUGUCUGCUCCUAGGUUCCUGUGACCAGAAGGCUUUAGACAGGUUCCUCUUGGGGCAGGAAUGUUAGCAGGUUUCUUGUUCUCCACAGUGCUCUCAGGAUUUAAUGUACUUCUGAUAGUCCCUCUCUCUCCCCAGAGGUCUGAGUACAGAGAGCUCUGGGCCUGAGUCAGCACUAGUCACAGCUGUAAUCCAGAAUGAUCCUAUCCAAGUCUGCUCUUAGGAUCCUGUGUCCAGAAGGCUCCAGAUGGGUUCCUCUUGUGCCAGCUAUGUGAACAGUAGUAGGGUGGACUCCCCUGAGCUCUCAAGCUGGUUUGCACUUUUGAGAGUAUCACUCUCUGUCCAGGGGAUCUGGGUACAGUGUGCUUUGGGCCUGUGUCAACACAGAACAAACAGAAAACAGAAGAAUUCUGUCUAAGUCUGCUCUAAGUCUCCUUUGUCCACAAGGCUCCAGGCAGGUUCCUCUUGGGCCAGGUAUGUGAGCAGUAUUAGUGGUCUCCACUGAGCUCUCAGGAUUGUCUGCACUUCUGAGAGUCCAGCUCUAUACCACAGGGUAUCUGGCUAUAGAAAGCUGUAGGACAAGGUCAGCUCAGGGAGCAGGCAGAAACUGCAAGGAACCUAUCCCGGUCUGCUCCUUGGUUCCUGUGUCCAGAGGACAGCAGGUAGAUUCAACUUGGUUCAGAAAGCUGAGCCAAGAGGAGGCCUCUCCUGUCUUCUCAGGAUUUUGUGCACUACUGAGAGUCACACUUGCUCCCCAGGGGAUCUGGGUACAGAGAUCUGUGGGAUCGGGUCAAAUCCGGGCAGAGGCAGAAACCACAAGCAUCCUGUCCGAGACAGCUCCUGGCUUCCUAUGUCCUACAGGCUCCAGGAGGGUCCCUCAGAUCAGAAAUGGUGGUCAAACCUCUGCUCUUUGUUGUGUCAGUGCUACUGGAUACUGGCUUUCAGUUCCAUGCAUGGGCAAAUACCAGAAUGGGUACCUCUUAUGGAAGGUAUGGGCAGAAGUGGUGGUCUCCCUUGUGCUCUCACGUUUGAACACAUUUUGGACAGUCCUGAUCUUUGCCCAGGCGAUCUGGAAAAGAGAAAUUUGGGCCUGUGUCUUCAGUGGGCACACCUGGAACCAGAAACAUCCUCUCCAGGUCUGCUCUUAGUUUUCUUUGUCCAGAGGGCUCCAAACUGGUAACACUUGGGGCAGGGCUAUGAGUAGUAGUGGUGGUCUCCCUUGAGCUUUCAGAAUUGUCCACCCUUCUGUGAGCCAUGUUCUCUGCCCAGGGGAUCUGGGUAUGGAGAACUUUGGGCUUGUUUCAGCAGUGGGCACAGUCAGAGACGAGAAGGAACCUGUCGAAGUGUGUUCUUAGGUCCCUUUUUUCAGCGGGAUCCAGGUGGGUUCCUCUUGGGUCAGGUAUGUGAGCAGAAGAGGUGAUCUCAUCUGUCCCCCUCAGGAUUGUCAGCACUUCUGAGAGUCACGCUCUCUCCCCAGGAAAUCUCAAUACAGAGAGCUGUGGGACCAGUUAAGUUCGGGAACAGGCAGAAACCAAAACGAUCCUGUCCCUGAUGGCUCCUGGUUUUGUAGGUCCUGAGGGCUCCAGGAGAGUUUCUUUGAGUAGAAAUACUGGUGAUAGCUCUACACUCAUGUUUGUCAGUGCUUUUGGAGACUGGCUUUCUGCUUGUUUCAUGGGCAAAAACCGGAAGUACUGUGUCUCUGCCUGCCCCUAAGAUCCUGUGUACAGAAGGAUCCAGAUCGGUCUAAUUGGUCAGGAAUGUGAGUAGUGUUGGCCAUUCAUCCCUCCCCCCACCCAGAGCUCUCAGGAAUGUCAUGCUCUCUUCUCAGGGGAUCUUGGUAGAGAGAGCUUUCCCUCUUUGUCAGUACUGGACAGAGACUUAAACCAGAAGGUUCCUGUUGAAAUUUGCUCUUUGUAACAUGACUCCAUAAGGGUACCAGGCUGGUUCUUUGUAGGCCAGGAAUGUGAGUCACAGUAGUGGUUCCUGGGAACACUCAGGAUUGUCUACACUUCUCUGAGUCAUGCUUUCUUCCCAGGGGAUGUGGGCCCAGUUCAGUUCUGGGCAUUGGCAGAAACAAGAAGGAUGCUGUCCCAGAUGGCUCCUCAUUUCCUUUGUCCUGAGUGCUCCAGGAAUGUAUCUCCAAGCAGAAAUUGUGGUGUAACCUCUGCUCUCAGAUGUGUCAGUGCUUUUGGAGACUGGAUUCCAACUCCGUGCAAAGGCAAAGACUGGAAGGAUCAUGUCCCUGACUGCUCAUAGGAUCCUGUGUCCUGAAUGCUCCAGGCGGGUUCCACUUGGGAAUCUAUGUACAGAGAGCUUUGGGCCUGUGUCAGCAGUGGGCACACUGGGAAAACAGAAGGAUCCUAUCUAGGUCUGCUCUUAGGUUCCUGUGUUCACAGGAUCCAGGUGUGUCAGCACUGGUGGAGACUGGCUUUCAACUCUGUGCAAAGACAAAGACCAGAUGGAUCGUGUUCCUAACUGCUCCGAGGAUCCUGUGUCUUGAAGGCUCUAAGCAGGUUCCACUUGGUCAAGAAUGGGAUAUAGGUACUGAUAGCUUUGCCCUGUGUCAGUACUGCACACAGCUGGAAACCAGAAGGAUCCUGUCCAAGUCUGCUCUUAGGUUCAUGUGUCCAGAGGGCUCCAGAUAUCUGUUUACAGAGAGCAUUGCACUGGUGUCAGUAGUGGGCACAGCUGGAAACCAGAAGGAUCCUGUCCAAGUCUGCUCUUAGGUCUCUGUUUUCAGAAGGAUCCAGAUGGGUUCCUCAUGGGCCUAGUAUGUGAGUAGAAGAAGUGAUCUCCCAUGUCCCCUCGGGAUUGUCAACACCUAUGAGAAUCACACUCUCUCUCAAUAGGAUCUGGGUACAGAGAGCUGUGGCAGAGUGUGAGUUCCAGGCACAGGCAGAAACUAGAAAGAUCCUGUCCCAGAUGGCUCCUGGUUUCCUAUGGCGUGAGGGCUCGAGGAGUAUAUCCCUGAGCAGAUCUUAACUCUGCUCUCAGGUUUGUCAGUGCUGUUUGAGAUUGGCUUUCAAUUCUGUGCACAAGAAAAGACUGAAGGAUCGAGUCCCUGACUGUCCUUGGAUCGUGUGUCCACAAUGCUCCAAGCAGGAUCCUCUCAGGCCAGGAAGGUGAGCAGAAGAGGUGGCCCCUGCUAUCCUCUCAGGAUUAUCCAGUUUUCUGAGAGUCAUGCUGUCUCCUCAGUAUCUGUGUACAGAGAGCUGUGGGACCAGUUCAGUUCCAGGCAUAGGUAGAAAGAAGAAUGAUUCUGUCGCAUAUGGCUCCUGGUUUUCUAUGUCCUGAGGGCUCAAUGAAAGUAUCUCUGAGCAGAAAUUGUGGUCUUACAUCUGCUCUCAGGUAUAUCAGCACUUUUUGAGACUGACUUUCAGCUCAGUGCACAGGCAAAGGCUAGUGUCCCUGACUACCUUUGGAUCCUGAAUCCAGAAGGUUCCAGGCAGGUUCCUCUUGGGCCAGGAUGGUGAAAAGAAGUGGUGAUCUCCCCUGUCCUCUCAGGAUUGUCUUCACUUCUGAGAGUCCCACUCUCACUCAGGGGGAUCUGAGUACAUGGAGCUUUGGUCCUGUGUCAGCACUGCACUUAUCCAGAAAGCAGAAAGUUCUUGUCCAAGUCUCCUCUUAGUUUUCAGUGUGCAGAGGCUCCAAGCAGUUAUGUUUAUGGCCAGGAAUACAGCAGCAGAGGUGCUCUCCCCUGUCCUCUCAGGAUUGUCCAUUGUUCUUCAAUUCACCCUCUCUACCCAGGGGAUCUGUGUACAGAGAGCUUUGGGCCUGUGACAGCACAGCAUAAUGUCAGAACCCAGAAGGAUCCCGUCCAAGUCUGUUCUUAGUUUCCUGUGUCUAGAGGGAUCCUGGCGGGUUUCUCUCAUGCCAGGUAUGUGAGCAGUAGUCUUUGUCUCCCCUGAACUCUCUGGAUUAUCUGCAUUUCUGAGAGUCCAGCUCUAUACCUCACAGGAUCUGGACACAGAUAGCUGUACGAUCUUGUCACCUCAGAGUCCAGGCAAAAAGUACUAGGAACCUAUCCCAGUGUGACCCUAGGUUCCUGUGUCCAGAGUGUUCCAGGUGGCUUAAACUUGGUCCUAAAAGGUAAGCCAAGAGGAGACCUCCGAAGUUAUCUCAGGAUUUCCCAAACUUGUGAGAGUCGUGGUCUCUCCCCCAGAGAAUCUGGGUACAGAGACCAGUUCAGUUCUGGGCACAGGCAGAAACAAGAAGGAUGCUGUCCUAAAUGGCUCCUUGUUUCCUAUGUCCUGAGGGCUCCAGGAGUGUAUCUCCUAGCAGAAAUUGUGGUCUUAUGUCUGCUCUCAGGUAUCAGCGCUUUUGGACACUGGCUUUCAGCUCCAUACACAGGAAAAGACCUGUGUUUCUGAUUGCUCCUAACAUCCUGUGUCCAGAAGGCUCCAGGAGGGUUCCUCAUAGGCCAGGAAGGUGAAUAGAAGGGGUGGACUCCCCUGUGCUCUCAGGAUUGUCCCCACAUCUGAGAGACCAGUUCUCUCCCAAAGGGUUCUGGGUACAGAAUUUUGGGUCUUUGUCAGCACUGCACACAGCCGGAAACAAGAAGGAUCCUGUCCAGGUCUGCUCUUAGGUUUCUGUUUCCAGAGGGCUCCAGGUGGGUUCAACUUGGGCCUGAAAGGUGAGACCAGAGGAGGCCUCCCCCAUUCUCUCAUGAUUUUCUGAAUUUAUGAGAGUCACAGUUUCUCCUCCAGAGAAUCUUUGUACCAAGAACUGAGGGACUGGGUCAGCUCUGGGGCACAGGCAGAAACCAGGAGUAUCCUGUCCCAGAUGGCUCCUGGUUUCCUAUGUCCUGAAAGCUCCAGAAGGGGCCAUUCGAACAUAAUUCUUAUUAAUAUCUCUGCUCUCAGGUGUGUCAGUGAUUUUGGAGACUAGGUUUCUGUUCAGUGCAAAGGCAAAGACCAGUAGGAUUCAGUUUCUGUUUCCUCCCUGGAUCCUGUGUCCAGAGGGCUCCAGGCAGGUUUCUCUUUGGCCAGGAUGGUGAGCAUUAGUGGUGGUCUCCCCUGAGCUCUCAGGACUGUCCACACUUCUGAGAGUCGUGUCUCUACCCAGGGUAUCUGGAUGCAGAGAGCUGUGGGCAGUUCUGGGCACAGGCAGAAACCAGAAGGAUCCUGUCCCAGAUGGCUCCUGGUUUCCUAUGUUGUGAGAUUUCCAGGAGGGUCCCUUGGAGCCAAAGUGGUUGUCAUACCUCUGGUUCCAGUUGUGUCAGAUAUACUGGAGAUUGGCUUUCAGAUAGGACCACAGACAGAGUCAGGAAGGAUCAUGUCCCUGUCAGCUGCUAGGUUCCUGUUUCCAGAAGGCUCCAGACUGGUAACUCUUGGGUCAGGGAUGUGAGCAGAAGAGGUGGUCUCCCAUGUGCUCUCAGGAUUGUCUACACUUCUGAGAGUCCCAAUCUCUCCCCAGGGGAUCUGGGUACGGAGAGCAGUGGGACCAGGUCAAUUUCGGGCACAGGCAGGAACAAGAAGCAUCCUCUCAGAUGGCUCCUAGUUUCCUAUGUUGUGAGAUUUCCAGGGGAUCUGGGUAUGGAGAACUUUGGGCUUGUGUCAGUACUGGGAACAUCUGGAAACCAGAAGGACCCUGUACAAGUCUGCACUUAGCUUCCUGAAUCCAGAGUACUCCAGGCAGGUUCCUCGUAAGACAGUUAUGUGGGCCUUAGUGGUGGUCUCCCCUGUGCUCUCAGGAUGGUGAAAUCCCAUGCUUUCCCCAGGGUUACAGAGAGUUGUGGGCCCGGGUCAGCUCCAGGCACAAGGAGAAAACAGAAGGGACCUGUUCCAGACUUCUCUUAGGUUCCUGUGUCUUGAGGGUCCAGGCAGGUUACUCUUUGGCCAGUUUUGUUAGCAGAUGAGGUGGUCUCCCCUGUACUCUCAGGAUUGUUUGCACUUCAGAGAGUCCUAUUCUCUCCUCAGGGGAUCUGGGUACAGAGAGCUGUGGGAACAGUUCAGCUCCAGGCAGAGGCAAGAACAAGAAGAAUCUCCUCCUAGAUGGCUCAUGGUUUCUUAUAUCCUGAGGGUUCCAGAAAUGUGUUUCCUAGUCGUAAUUGUGCUCUUAUGCCUGCUAUCAGGUGUGUCUGUGCUUUGGGAGACUGGAUUUCAGCUCAAGGCACAGGCAAAGACUGGAAAGAUUUUGUCCCUGACUGCUCCUAAUAUCCUGUGUCCAGAAGGCUUCAGGUGGGUCCUGUUGUGCCAGGUAGGUGAACAGAAGAGGUGGUCUCCCCUGUUCUCUCAGGAUUGUUCGCACUUCUGAGAGUCCCACUCUUUCCCCAGGGGAUCUGAGUACACAGAGUUUUGGUCUUUAGUCAGCACGGCACCCAGCUGGAAAUGAGAAGGAUCCCGUCGAGGUCUGCUCUAAGCUUCCUGUGUCCAGAGGACUCCAGGUGGGCUCAACUUGGCUCUUAAAGUUUUCUUUCAUGAUUUUCCGAAUUUGUGAGAGUUACACUUUCUCCCCAGGGAAAUCUGUAGUCCAAGAACUAAGGGACCUGGUCACCUCCAGACAGAGGCAAAAAACAGAAGUAUCCUGUCUCAGAUGGCUCCUGGUUUCCUAUAUUGUGAGAUCUCCAGGAGGGUCCCUUGGAAUACAAUUUGUGGUUUUACUCUGUUCUUAAGUGUGUUAGCACUUUUGGAGACUAGCUUGUAGCACAGUGCACAGGCAAAGACCAGAAGGACCCUGUCCUAGGCUGCUUCUGGGUUCUUUUGUCCAGAGUAUUCCAGACUGGUAACUCUUGGGCCAGAAAUGUGAGUAGAAGUGGUGGUCUCCUGGAAGCUCUCAGGAUUGAACACAUUUCUGAGAGUCCUGCUCAGAAGUCCCCAAGGCAUCUUGAUACAGAGAUCUUUGGGACAGAGUCAACUCUGGGCAUAGUCAGAAACUAGAAUGAUUUUGUCUCAGACUGUUCCUGGUAUCCUAUGUUGUGAGAUGUCCAGGGGCAUCCCUCAGGGUUCAAGUGGUGGUCUUACCUCUGCUUUCAUGUGUGUCACAUAUACUGGAGACUGGCUUUUAGCUAUGAGUUCAGGCAGAGACUGGAAGGAUCACCCUGGCAGCUCCCAGUUCCCGGUGUUCAGAAGGCUCCAGAUUGAUACCACUUGGUACAGGGAUAUGAGCAGUAGCGGUUGUUUCCCUUGAGCUCUCAGGAUUGAAUGUACUUCUGACAGUCACACUCUAUCCCAAGGGGAUUUGGGAACAAAGAAAUCUGUGCCUGUGCCAGCACUGCACAAGGCUGGAAACCAGAAGGAUCCUGUCCAAGUCUAUUCUUAGCUUCCUGUGUCCUGAGGGCUCCAGGUGGAUUCUACAUGGACCUGAAAGAUGAGCCAAGAGGAGGCCUCCCCUGUGCUCUCAGGAUUGAAGCACUUCUGAGUGUCCUGCCCUAUCCCCAGGAGAACUGUGUACAGAGAACUUUGGGCCUGUGUCAGCAUAGGGCACAGCCAGAAAACAGAAGGAUCCUGUCCACGGCUGCUCUUAGGUCCCUGUUUUCAGAGGAAUCCAGGGGACCUGGAUACAGUGCGUUGUAGAACCAGUUAAGUUCCAGGAACAUGCAGAGACAAGAAGGAUCUUGUCCCAGAUGGCUCCUGGUUUCCUAUGUCCUGAGGGCUCCAGGAGUAUAUCUCUGAGCAGAAAUUGUGGUCUUAGCUCUGCUCUCAGAUGUGUCAGUGCUGAUGAAGUCUGGCUUCAACUCCGUGCACAGGCAAAGACUGGAAGUAUGGUGUCCCUGACUGUCUUUGGAUCCUGUGUCCACAAUGCUCCAAGUGGGAUCCUCUGGGGCCAAGAAGGUGAGCAGAAGGGUUGGCCUGUCCUCUUGGAUUAUCCAGUCUUCUGAAAGUCAUGCUCUCUCCUCAGGGAAUCUUGUUACAGAGUGCUGUGGGACCAGUUUGGCUCUGGGCACAGGCAGAAACUAGAUUGAUCUGUCCCAGAUGGCUCCUGACUUCUUAUGUUGAGAUCUCCAGGAAGGUCCUUUGGAGCAGAAGUGGAAGUCUUACCUCUGCUUUCAUGUGUGUCAGCACUGGCCACAGCCGGAAACCAUCAGGAUCCUGUCCAAGUGUGCACUUAGGUCCCUGUGUCCAGAGGACUCCAAUCAGGUUCCACUUCAACCAGGUAUACUGGAGACUGGCUUUGAGUUCCAAUUACAGUCGGAGGCUGGAAGCAUCAUGUCCCUGAGAGCUCUCAUUCCUGUGUCCAGGAGGCCCCAGACAGCUUUCUCCCCAGGGGAUCUGUUUACAGAGAUCUUUGGGCCUGUAUUACCAGUGAGCACACCUAGAAACCAGAAGGAUCCUGUCCAAAUCUGCUUUUAGAUUCCUGUAUCCAGAGGCUUGGGACUGGUACCUCUUUGACCUGGUCUAUGGCUCCUGGUUUCCUAUGUUGAGAUCUCCAGGAAGAUCCCUCAGAGCAGAAGUGGAGGUCUUACCUCAGCUUUCAGGUGAUCUGGGUACAGAGAGCUUUGGGCCUGAGUCAGCACUGGUCACAGCCAGAAACCAGAAAGAUCCUGUUCAAGUCUGCACUUAAGUUCCUGUGUCCAGAGUGCUCCAGGCAGGUUUCAAUUUGGUGAGGUAUGUGAGCAGUACUGGUGAUCUCCCCUGUGCUCUCAGUAUUGAAUGCACUUCUGACAGUCCUGAUCUCUCCCCAAAUGACCUCAGUACAGAUAUCUGUAACACCUGGUCUGCUCUAGACAUAGGCAGAGACUAGAGUGAUCCUGUCCCAGACAGCUCCUGGUUUCCUAUAUUUUGAGAUCUCCGGGGGUCCUUUGGAGUAGAAGUGGUGGUCUUACCUCUGCUUUCAGGUGUGUCAGGUGUACUGGAGACUGGCCUUAAGCUAUGAGCACAGGCAGAGACUGGAAGGAUCAUGUCAUUGACAGCUCCUAGUUCCCCUUGUCCACAGCCUCCAGACUGGUAACUCUUGGGCAGGGAUGUGAGCAGCAGUGAUGGUCUCCCCUGAGCUCUCAGGAUUGUCCACACUUCUGAGAGUCAUGAUGUCUUCCCAGGGGUUCUGGGUACAGAGAGCUUUGGGCCUGUGUAAGUAGUGGGCACAGCUGGAAACCAGAAGAAUGCUAAGUCUGCUCUUAGGUCCCUGUUUUCAGAAGGAUCCAGGUGGGUUCCUCUUGGGCUAGGUAUAUGACCAGAAGAGGUGACCUCCCCUGUCCCCUCAGGAUUGUCAGCACUUCUUAGAGUCAUGCUAUCUCCACAGGGUACUGGAUACAGAGAGCUCUGGCACCAGUUCACUUCUGGAACAGGCAGAAACCAGAAGGAUCCUGUUCCAGAUGACUCCUGAUUUCUUAUGUCCCGAGGGCUACAAGAGUGUAUCUCUGAGCAGAAAUUGUGGUGGUACCUCUCUUCUCAGAUUUGUCAGUGCUUGUGGAGACUGGAUUUCAGCUCCUUUCACAGACAUAUACCAGAAGUUUCCUGUGUAGGACUGCUCCUAGGAUCCUGGUUCUAGAAGGUUCCAGGUUGAUUCUACUUGUUCAGGAAUGUGAGCAGAAUUGGCAGUUCCCCCAGUACCUCAACAGAGAUCUCAGGUAUAUCUGUACUUUUCAGAGUCCUGCUCUCUCCCCAGGGGAUCUUACAGAGAGAGCUUUUGGUCUUUGUCAGUACUGAAUACAGUCAUAAACCAGAAGGAUCCUGUCCAAGUCUGCUUUUAGUAACCUGUGUCCAGAAGUCUCUAGGCUGGCUCCACUUGGGCCAGGUGUGUCAGUGCUUUUGGACACUGGCGUUCAGCUCUAUGCACAGGCAAAGACCAGAAGUAUUGUGUCUCUGACUGCCCCUAACAUCCUGUGUCCAGAAGGCUCCUUGACGGUUCCCCGUGGGCCAGGAAGUUGAGCAGAAGAGGAGGACUCCCCUGUGCUCUCAGGAUUGUCCCCACAUCUGAGAGUCCCACUCUCUCUGAAGAGGAUCUGGGUACAGAACUUUGGGUCUGUGUGAGCACUGCACACAGAUGGAAACCAGAAGGAUCCUGUCCAAGUCUGCACUACGUUCCUGUAUCCAGAGUGCUCCAGGCAGGUUCCACUUCGGACAGGUAUGUGAGCAGCAGUGGUGUCUCUCCUGUGCUCUCAGGAUUGAACACGCUUCUGACUUUCCUGCUCUCUCCCCAAAGGAUCUCAAUCUGUGGGACCUGGUCUGCUCAGGGCACAGGCAGAGACUAGAAUGAUCCUGUCCCAGAUAGCUCCUAGUUUCCUAUAUUUUGAGACCUACAGGGGGGUCCUUCAGAGUAGAAGUGGUGGUCUUCUCUCUGCUUUCAAGUUUAUCGGGUAUACUGGAAUCUCGCUUUCAGCUACAAUCACAGUCGGAGACUGGACGGAUCAUGUCCCUGACAGCUCCUCAUUCCCUGUGUCCACAAGGCUCCAGACUUGUACCUAGUAGGGAAGGGAUUUUGAGCAGAAGUGGUGGUCUCCCCUGUAGUGUGGAGAUUGAAUAGAUUUCUGACAGUCCACCUCUUUCCCCAGUAGAUCAAGGUACAGAUAUCUUAGGGCCUUUGUCAGCAGUGGGCACACCAGGAAACCAGAAGGAUCCUGUCCUGGUCUGCUCUUAGUUUCCUGUGUCCAGAGGGCUCUAGAAUGCUAACUACUGGGGCAAGGAUGUGAACAGUAGCAGUGAUCUCCCUUAACCUCUCAUGAUGGUCUAAGCUUCCGAGUGUCAUGAUCUCUCCCUGGGGCUUCUGGUUACAGAGAGCUUUGGGCCUGUGUAUGUACUGGGCACAGCCAGAAAGCAGAAGGAUCCUGUCCAAGUCGGCUCUUGGGUCCCUAUUUUCAGAGUGAUGCAGGUGGGUUCCUCUUGGGCCAGUUAUGUGAGCAGAAGAGGUGACCUCCCCUGCCCCCCAGGAUUGCCCAUACUUCUUAGAGUCAUGCUUUCUCCCCAGGGUUCUGGAUACAGAGAGCUGUAGGACUAGUUCAGUUCCAGAAACAAGAAGGCUCCUGGUUUCUUGUGUCCUGAGGACUACAAGAGUGUAUCUCCGAGCAGAAAUUGUGGUGGUACCUCUGCUCUCAGAUUUGUCAGCACUUGUGGAGAUUGAAUUUCAGCUCCUUUAACAGGCAAAGUCCAGAAGUUUCGUGUCCAUGACUGCUCCUAUGAUCCUGUGUCCAAAAGGUUCCACAUCAGUUCUACUUGGUGGGAAAUGUGAGGAGUAGUGGUUCCCCUUCCCCCCCACCCAGAGCUUUCAGGAAUGCCUGCACUUCUGGGAGUCACGCUAUGUCCCCGUGGGAUCGGGGUACAGAAAACUGUGGGACAGCAUCAUUUCCAGUCACAGGCAGAAACCAGAAGUAACCUAUUCCAGAUCGUUCUUGGUUUCCUAUGUCCUGAGGAGUCUAGGAGGUCCCUUGGAGCAGGAAUGGUGGUUUUACCUCUACUCUUAAAUGUGUUAGCACUUUUGGAGUCUAGAUUUCAGACCAGUGCACAAAGAUCAGAAGGAUCCUGGCCCAGGUUUUUCCUGGGUUCUUGUGUCCAGAAUGCUUCAGACUGUUAACUAUUGGGUCAAGAAUGUGAGCAGAAGUGGUGGUCUCCCCUGUACUCUCAGUACUGAAAACAUUUCUGAGAGUCCUGUUCCCUCCCCAAGGAAUCUAGGCACCAAUAUCUGUGGUAUUGGGGUAGCUCCGGGUACAGGCAGAAACCAGAAUGAUCCUGUCUCAGACGACUCCUGGUUUCCUAUGUUGUCGGAUGUCCAGAGGGGUCCCUCGUAGUAGAAGUGGUGGACAUAACUCUGAUUUCAGGUCUGUAAGGUAUACUGGAGACUAGCUUUCAGCUACAAUCACUGUAGGAGUCUGGAAGCAUUAUGUCCCUGAGAGCUCCUCAUUGCCUCUGUCCAGAAAGCCCCAGCCUGGUACCUCUUAGGGCAGGGAUGUAAGAAGAAUUGGUGGUCUCCCCUGUGCUCUCAGGAUCGGAUGCAGUUCUGACAGUCAUUCUCUCUUCCCGACAGAUCUGUGUAGAGAUCUUUGUGCCUGUGUCAGCAGUGAGCACACUUGGAAACUAGAAGGAUCCUGUUCAAGUCUGCUCUUAGGUUCCUGUGUCCUGAGGGCUCCUGAUUGGUACCUCUUGGGACAUGUAUGUGAGCAGAAGAGGUGAUCUCCCUUGUCCUCUCAGGAUGGUCAGUAAUUCUUAGAGUCAUGCUUUCUCCCCAAGGAGUCUGGAUACAGAGAUUUGUGGGUCCAGUUGUGUUCUGGGAACAGGCAGAAACAAGAAGGAUCCUGUCUCAGAUGGCUCUUGGAUAUAUAUGUCCUCAGGGCUCCAGGAACGUAUUUUGAGCAUAAAUUGCGGUGUUACCUCUGCUCUCAAUGUUUCAGUGCUGUUGGUGUCUGGCCUUCAACUCCAUGCACAGGCAAAGACCAGAAGGAUUGUGUCCCUGACUGCCCUAAGAUCCUGGGUCCAGAAGGCUCCAAAUCAGAUCCUUUUGGGAGAGGAAUCUGAACAGAAGUGGUGGUCUCCACUGGCCUCGAAGGAUGGUACAGUCUUUUGAGAAUCAUGCUCUCUCCCCAGGGGAUCACGGUACAGAGAGCUGUGGGACCAGGUCAGUUCCAGGCACAUGUAGAAACAAGAAGAAUUCUGUCCCAGAUGGCUACUGGUUUCCUAUGUCCUGAGGGAUCCAGGAAUGUAUCUCUGAGCAGAAAUCGUGGUCUUACAUCUGCUCUCAGGUAUAUCAGUGCUUUUUGCGACUGGCUUUCAGCUCAGUGCACAGGUAAAGUCACUGUCCCUGACUACCUUUGGAUCCUGUAUUCAGAAGGUUCCAGGCAGUUUCCUCUUGGGCCACGGACAGAGCUUCAGAGGUGCUCUCUCCUGUCCUCUCAGGAUUGUCCAUUGUUCUUCCAUUCACCCUCUCUAUCCAGCGGAUCUGGGUACAGAGAACUUUGGGCCUGUGACAGCAGUGGCCAUAGCCGGCAACCAGAAGGAUCCUGUUCAAGUCUUCUAUUAGUUUGCUGUGUCCAGAAUGUUCCUGACAGGUUCCUCUUGUGUCAGGUAUGUGAGCAGUAGUCAUUGUCUCCCUUGAGCUCUCUGGAUUGUCUAUCCUUAUAGAGUAUAGAGAGUCCAGCUCUAUACCUCACAGAAUCUAGAUACAGAGAGCUAUAUGAUCUUUUCAACUCAGAGUGCAGGCAAAAACUACUAGGAACCUAUCCCAGUCUGAUCCUAGGUUCCUAUGUCCAGAGGGCUGCAGGUGGGUUAAAGUUGGGCCUUAAAGGUGAGUCAAGAGGAGGCCUCCACAGUAAUCUCAGGAUUUGCCAAUCUUAUGAGAGUCACGGUCUCUUCCCAGAGAAUCUGUGGGACCAGUUCUGUUCCAGGCACUGGCAGAAACAAGGAUGCUGUCCCAGAUGACUCCUAGUUUCCUAUGUCCUGAGGUCUCCAGGAAUGUAUAUCCUAGCAGCAACUGUGGUCUUACGUCUUCUGUCAGGUGUGUCAGUGCUUUCGGAGACUGGCUUCCAACUCUCUGCAUAGGCAACGACCUGAAGGAUCAUGCCUCUGACUGCUCCUAAUAUCCUGUGGCCAGAAGGCCUUCCAGUGUGUUCCUCUUGGGCCACUAAGUUGAGCAGAAGAGGUGAUCUCCCCAGUACUCUCAGGAUUGUAUGCACUUCUGAGAGUCCCUCUCUCUCCCAAGGGGAUCUGGGUUCGGAGAACUUUGUGCCUGUGUCAGCACCGCACACAGCUGGAAACCAGAAGUACCCUGUCCAUAUAUUUUCUUAGAUUCCUGGGUCCAGAGGGCUCCAGGUAGGUUCAACUUGGGCAAGGAGGAUGAGGCAAGAGGAGGUCUCCCCUGUUCUCGCAUCACUUUCCGAAUUUAUGAGGGUCACAUUUUCUCCCCAGGUGAUCUGGGUACCAAGAACCUAGGGACCAGGUCAGCUCCAGGUGCAAUAAUAACCCAGCACUAUGCUGUCCCAGAUGGCUCCUGGUUUCCUAUUUAGUAAGGCCUCCAGGAAGGUCCCUCGUAGCAGAAGUUGUGGUCUUACCACUGCUCUCAGGUGUUUCAGUGCUUUUGUGUAGUGGCUUUCAGGUCUGUGCAUGGGCAAAGGCCAGAAGGAUCCUAUCAUUGACUGCUCCUAGGUUCCGGUGUCCAGAGGGUUGCAUGGGGGUUCCUUGUGCCAGGAGGUGACCCAAAGUGGUGGUCUCCCCUGUGGUAUCAGGAUUGUCCACACUUUGUAGAGUCAUGCUUACUCCCAAGGGGGUCAAGGUACAGAGAGCUGUGGGACCAGGUCAAUUUCAGGCACAGGCAGAAACCAGAAGGAUCCUGUCCCAGAUGGCUCCUGAUUUCCUAUGUUGUGAGAUUUCCAGGUGGGUCCCUUGGAGUAGAAGUGGUUGUCAUACCUCUGGCUUCAGUUGUGUCAGAUAUACUGGAGACUGGCUUUAAGGUAGGAGCACUGACAGAGUCAGGAAGGAUCAUGUCCCUGUCAGCUUCCUGUUUCCAGAAGGCUCCAGAGACUGGUAACUCUUGGGUCAGGGAUGUGAGCAGAAGCGGUGGUCUCCCCUGUGCUCUCAGGAUUGAAUGCACUUCUGAGAGUCCCACUCUAUCCCCAGGGGAUCUGAGUACAGAGAACUUUGGGCCUGUGUCAGCCCUGGGCACAGCCAGAAACCAGAAGGAUCCUGUACAAGUCUGCACUUAGCUUCCUGAAUCCAGAGUGCUCCAGGGGGUAUCGAUGGUCAGUCUGUACAGAAGCUCAUGUCUUGCCUAACACGAGUACUGAAAGUUAUGAUUCUUGCACGGUAUAGCAGACAGAGUGAAGGAGAACGAAGUGUGUGGGUGUGUAUGAUACUUGGUCACAGCAGUGAGAAAUGUAUACAGAGGUGCGAUCAGAUCGCCAGUUGACUAGCAAUCUUGGACUGUUUAGGCAGCUGGAAGAAAAGGAAACAAGUCAGCUUGAAGGCAACUGACGUUUAUUGCUAACUAGUCUGAAGAUUGGGAAGUCCAAGAUCAAAGUGCAUGCAGAUUUGGAUUCUGAUGAGUUACCAGAGGUCACAGGAGUGCUGGACAGCACCCCACGAGCGAACUUGAGCCUCGGGACCACAGGUAAGACCAAAUUUUCUGCUGCAAGAAAGCUGCCUGGUGAGCUUGGGACACACGGAAGCAGAAUUUCUCUAGAACCGGGCACGUUCUGUGUUUACCGGAAGUCCCACACCCGCGGAUCCCGGCCCGCAGCAGCUCUCUGCUCCCAGACCCGGUGAGAGAGAGACCCAACCGCCUGGUCAGGUGGGCACUCCUGAGGCUGCAGAGCGGAAGAGACCACCAACACUGCUCACCCCUGCCCACAUCCCUGGCCCAAGAGGAAACUGUAUAAGGCCUCUGGGCUCCCGUGGGGGAGGGCCCAGGAGCGGCAGGACCCCUGCCGGAGACACCGCCGGACCCUGAAGGAAACAGACCGGAUAAACAGUUCUCUGCACCCAAAUCCCGUGGGAGGGAGAGCUAAACCUUCAGAGAGGCAGACAGGCCUGGGAAACCAGAAGAGACUGCUCCCUGCACACACAUCUCGGACGCCAGAGGAAAAAGCCAAAGACCAUCUGGAACCCUGGUGCACUGAAGCUCCCGGAAGGGGCGGCACAGGUCUGCCUGGUUGCUGCCGCUGCAGAGAGCUCGUGGGCAGCACCCCACGAGCAAACCUGAGCCUCGGGACCACAGGUAAGACCAAAUUUUCUGCUGCAAGAAAGCUGCCUGGUGAACUCAAGACACAGGCCCACAGGAACAGCUGAAGACCUGUAGAGAGGAAAAACUACACGCCGGAAAGCAGAACACUCUGUCCCCAUAACUGACUGAAAGAGAGGAAAACAGGUCUACAGCACUCCUGACACACAGGCUUAUAGGACAGUCUAGCCACUGUCAGAAAUAGCAGAACAAAGUAACACUAGAGAUAAUCUGAUGGCGAGAGGCAAGCGCAGGAACCCAAGCAACAGAAACCAAGACUACAUGCCAUCAUCGGAGCCCAAUUCUCCCACCAAAACAAACAUGGAAUAUCCA